rfam:Candidatus Vogelbacteria bacterium RIFOXYD1_FTLL_44_32 rifoxyd1_full_scaffold_24, whole genome shotgun sequence.
UAAUAGGAAAUUAAGAGCAUAUGGUGGAUGCCUUGACACAAAAUGGCGAUGAAGGACGCGGCUUGGCGGCGAUACGCUUCGGGGAGGUGCCUAGCAACCUUUGAUCCGAAGAUGUCCGAAUGGGGAAACCCGAUCGAGUAAAGCUCGAUUACUUGCUUUUGCAAGAGCGAACCCGGGGAAGUGAAACAUCUCAGUACCCGGAGGAAUAGAAACUAAAUGAACUUCCUAGUUUGGAGGCGCAAAUUUCGAGCUUCCAAACUAUGAGGUUCUAAGCAUUCCCCUAGUAGCGGCGAGCGAACAGGGAGAAGCCCAAACCCAUAAGUUUACUUGUGGGGGUUGUAAGGUACAAACGUAGAUUUCUAGGGAAGUCAAAAAAUAUUUUGUUAGCCGAAACUGCUGGGAAGCAGUGCCACAGAAGGUAACGGCCCUGUAGGCGAAAACGAAAUAUCUUCCUUGUUUGUAUUCUUGAGUACCUCGAGGAACGACAGCCUUGAGGGAAUCCGCCGGAACUAACCGGCAAGGCUAAAUACAUUUUGUGAUCGAUAGUGAACUAGUACCGUGAGGGAAAGGUGAAAAGCAGCCCCAUAAGGGCGUUGAAAUAGACCUGAAACCAUAUGCUUACAAGGAGUGGGAGUCGCCACACCUAUUUAGUGUCAGAAAUCGAAGGUACUUAAUAUGAUAUAAAAAUAUCACGGAAAGUGCACUCUCUUCUGAUGUUAAAUAGGUGUGGCGAUGACCGCGUGCCUAUUGAAGAAUGAGCCAACGAGUUUAUGCGUACUGCGGGCUAAGCCCUUCUGGGGUGGAGCCGUAGGGAAACCAAGUGUGAAUAGCGCGUUUGUAGUCCGCAUAAGACCCGAAGCCAGGUGAGCUUGCCAUGGGCAGGAUGAACCCCACAGAAAUGUGGGGGGAGGUCCGAACCGGUUAGCCGUGCAAUACUAUCGGAUGACCUGUGGUAGGGAGUGAAAAGCUAAUCGAACCUGGUAAUAGCUGGUUCUCUCCGAAAUAUCUUUUGGGGUAGCGUCAGAUGUUCCUUCUGGGGGUAGAGCACUGGAAGAGUCGAACAGGGAGAAAUCUCGUCGAUUCUAUCAAACUCCGAAUACCAGAAACUAAAGUCUGGCAGUUAGACUCCGGGCGCUAAGGUCCGGUGGUCAAAAGGGAAACAGCCCUGACCUCAAUCUAAGGUCCCUAAAUCUACACUAAGUGCACUUAAGGAGGUGAAAUUUCUCCGACAAUGAGGAGGUUGGCUUAGAAGCAGCCAUCCUUUAAAGAAAGCGUAAUAGCUCACUCAUUCAGAGAUCUUGCGCCGCAAAUAAUCGGGGCUAAGUGUGGUACCGAAGGUGAGGAUGUCUUUUGUCUUCGGACAGAAGGCGUGGUAGGAGAGCGUUCCUCUCUGCAGUGAAGCGAGGUUGUGAAGCCUCGUGGAGCGUGAGGAAGUGAGAAUGUUGGCACAAGUAACCGCAAGGCAGGUGAGAACCCUGCCCGCCGAAAGAUCAAGGUUUCCUUGGCAAUGGUAAUCAGCCAAGGGUUAGUCGGGCCUAAGCCGAUGGUGAAAACCGCAGGCGAUGGACACACGGUUAAUAUUCCGUGACUUCUGUAAUGUGCGAUGGGGAGACGGAGGGCAGUAUGUCGAGCGUAUUAUUGGAUUUACGUUCGGGCCGUCAGGAAGUACUCUAGGCAAAUCCGGAGUACAUUAUUCCAAGCGGAGCGAAAACGCGGUGGUCUCCACUGUGAAUUUGACAAAGCGCGCUUCCAAGAAAAGCCUCUAAGCUUCAACAUUAUAGAAACCGUACCGCAAACCGACACAGGUGAUCAGGUCGAGAAGACCAAGGCGAACGGGUGAUUGCUCCUCAAGGAACUCGGCAAAAAAGCGGCCGUAAGUUUGCAAUAAGGCCUGCCCUCGCAAGAGGGCCGCAGCUAAAGUAUCCCUGGCGACUGUUUAUCAAAAACACAGCUCCCUGCGAACUCGUAAGAGUAUGUAUAGGGGGUGACACCUGACCAAUGCCCGAAGGUCAAAUAAGGUGGGUGUGCGCAGUAAUGCGUAUGCUUGCUCUAUAAGCCCGGGUGAAUGUCGGCGAUAACUAUAAUCGUCCUAAGGUUCCGUGUUUGAUUUUAAAAUCGAACACGGAACGGAUUGGGGCGAUGUAUAGCGAGUGUGAUAAACAGAAGACAAAAUAUACCAAUCAAAAGCUACCUCAGCGCGUGGUAACGCGCGCAUGAUCCACAUGGCACGAAGAGACUAUACGCCAUGCCCCCGCCCUGCCUUGCAGGGCGGGGUGAAGAUAUAGUCCUUAUGUGAGGAAUAUAAGAGCGAAAUUCCUUGUCUGGUAAGUUCAGACGUGCACGAAUGGUGUAACGACUGGGGAACUGUCUCGAGGAGUAGCCCG